rnacentral:tRNA from 1 species
AAUAAAGUGCCUGAAAAUUAAAGGAUUAUCUUGAUAGGAUAAAUUAUGUGUAAUUCACCUUUAUUA